rnacentral:rRNA from 1 species
UGGGGAAUAUUGGACAAUGGGCGAAAGCCUGAUCCAGCCAUGCCGCGUGUGUGAAGAAGGUCUUCGGAUUGUAAAGCACUUUAAGUUGGGAGGAAGGGCAGUAAGCGAAUACCUUGCUGUUUUGACGUUACCGACAGAAUAAGCACCGGCUAACUCUGUGCCAGCAGCCGCGGUAAUACAGAGGGUGCAAGCGUUAUUCGGAAUUACUGGGCGUAAAGCGCGCGUAGGUGGUUCGUUAAGUUGAAUGUGAAAGCCCCGGGCUCAACCUGGGAACUGCAUCCAAAGCUUGCGAGCUAGAGUAGGGCAGAGGGUGGUGGAAUUUCCUGUGUAGCGGUGAAAUGCGUAGAUAUAGGAAGGAACACCAGUGGCGAAGGCGACCACCUGGGAUCAUACUGACACUGAGGUGCGAAAGCGUGGGGAGCAAACAGG